UUUGAGCUCACAUAAAAGAAAGGAGAAGAAUGCACAGCCACACAAUGCAUCCCCUUUUAUGAAAACCCUGAGACUGAAGUGUCACAUGAACUGUAAAAGAGGUUACAAUCUACAAAAGACUAAUUAUUAAACAAGAGAGAGUCUUCUUUCUGAAAGGCAGUAAUACAGUGGCCUCAGACUAGUAUGAUGCCUUAGAAAGGUCUUGGAGAUGGAUGUAUUACAUCCUAUUUGGCAGAUGCCAGCAUUCAGCUUCUAUGUUCUUCAAAGGCUGUAUCACAUUCCCCACUGAUAAGACAGUAUAAAGGAGGAAAUUUCUCUGGCUUACACACAAAUGAAUCAGUGGUGGUAAAAUCAAGAAUUUAAGUUAUUAAUUUGUACAACAGCAUUUGAAUUUCACAGGUUUGGGUUUUUUUAUUUUUUCUUUCUCUCCAAUAUACCCACCAGCUCUGAUGAAGUUACACUGAUGUGAACUCGCCAAAGGCUGGAGUCUGCAUAAUGGCAAACCAUUUACAGAACAGAGUAAUAUGCACUUCUAAUACUGAAAAAACACUGAUUUUUCAAACUAUGAACAAUUAUCAGUAUAUUCAAGAGGAAAGUAGACUUCUUAGAAAAAUCAUGGAGCUCUGUAGCAUUUUAUAUUAAAUCAAUGAAACAACUCCCUAACGUUAAAAAUAGGAAGUUUUCUUGAAAUAGUACUCAAAAUUUUCUUAUUAGUUUGAUUACUUUUUUAAUAGAGUAUUAUUUUUAAAUUGCAUUUUCAGAAAUAUUGUGGAAAGGCAUCUUUUUUUUUUUUUUUUAAAUGGAGAAAGGUUUUAUUGAGGUUUUCACAUUAUUUUUUUCAUUCUCCAUGUCAAAGUUUGGCUUUUUCUAUUUAAAAUCUACAUUUAAGCUUGUCAUUUCAGUAAAAAGCAUUACAUACCAUAAAAACACAUAAAGGACUUCAGAUUGUAAAUACCGAUUUAACCUAAAUCUACUUUUGGGAAGGCAGCUGGAAUAAAAGAUCAUUUUUCUUGAGGUAACUUUUUUUUAGAAUCUCACUAGUUUACCUUCUACUUAAAAGAGUCUCUACUAAAACACUAAUGACGUAUCAACAGUUUUCUGAUCCAACGUGGAACUUUACAUCUGUUUUUUUACACUAUGACAGAAUCAAGGAAGAUUGAUUUUCUUUUUUUUUUUUUUUUUUUUUUUAAUGCAAGAAGUUUCGGUAAGACUUUCAAUUCCAUCCAUAAAGGAAGUUUCCCUUUGUGG
rnacentral:lncRNA from 1 species